GGGGGGCAGCCUCGACGGGCUGCGGUCUGUCGUGGGCCGUGACGUCCGCCGCGAUGGGAGGCUGUGUCUGCUGUCCCGGCGGACUUCCGAGGCUGCUUUCUGCAGACGCUGCCCGCCUCCGUACCGCCGGCCCAGAUACCAGAUACUAGCCCAGGCCGCCUCCCGCCGCUCCAGCGUCCCUCCUUCGAAGCGCAGACGCCGGCAGCCACCCGCCCCAGAGCCGGCCCCCCGCCUGUCCCUGCCCGCAGAUGCCUCCCGCUGACACCCGGCCCGGACGCUUGCCGACACCGCUGCCUGCCAUUGCCUUCUCCCGCUGACACCGACUUCGCUGCCUUUGCCAACGCUCGCGGACGCCCAGCGCCUUCGGCAGCCAGACGUCACCGCCUCCUACCCCAGACUCCUGCCACCACCAGCAGGGACCCUCCUUCACGGGGACCGGGCCCCCUCGUUCCCACGCAGGCCUGGCCGCCGUGCAGCAGCCUCAGCUCAUAGUAAGUAGCUGCCCCCACGCUGGCUUUUUGAUCAGGGGGUUUGGGGGUGGUGCAUGGGCCCUGGGAGGAAAGUAGAAAGGUAUGGGUGGGCGUGGAAAAGAUGCAUGCACUUACCCAGCCAGGAAGGUGACCUGAUCUCAGCCAGUAGCUUGCCAGGCCCGCCAGCUUCUCUGACUGCAGCUAGUGCUUUCGGUGUCAGGUCCCUGGGCACGCGGGCAAGGGCGCUAGGAGGGUGCAUCCGCUGGGGAGGGGGUUCCUCCUGUACUCCCAGGCUGGUCAGCGCGGGCGUCCAGGGGGUGUAUAGGUCCUUAAAGAGAGGCUUGACUUUGUCUAAUAUUUGGUAAAAGUUUUGUGAGUAAACUAGCAUAACUGUUGUGAACGAGUAAACCAAGUGUAGCAAGUAAACAUCUUAAUAAUUGUGUGUUACAGCAUAUUACAGUGUGUAUACCUACAAACAGCCUGAGAAUCUUUGUGGUAACCUAAAACCUGCAAGUUUUGCCAAGUUAAGUAGACAUAUUUUAUACUUAGAGAUUGUGCUGUAAAGCACACGGUUCCAGUAAUUAUAAAAUGUGUUCAUAAAUUUGUCAAUCUAAAGAAUGCUAGUGUAACAGUUUACAAUAGCCUACUUCUCAGUGUUCACUGGAAAUUAAAGUUCCUAAUGGUUUUAAGUUCUAAUUAUAACUACUUGAAGUAAUAAGGAAAACAUUUCUGCAUAAGAAUAUGUCUUUUGAUAAAAGAAAGUAGCUUUGCUCUAAAGUACAGCUGUUUAUUUAAAGAAGGAAAACUGUAAAAAGAAAGUUGUAGAAAGUUUAUGGAAACAUUAUUGAUAUGGUCAUGCUAUGUGAAAUUAAAGCAAAUCAGUCUUGCUAUCAAGUACAUAGCAAAACUAGAAUUUUUUCUGUUAACAGAACUAAGGUUUAUUAGUCUACUGUUAAUGCUGAAAGAUUGCAAAGGGUUUUCCUAUUGUUUUAUCAAAACAGUUUCUCAUGCUUAAAGUCUCAGUGAGUUGCCUGAGUAUUUAAGAAAAUGAGAUCUUACUAUUAAAAGGACUAAAAGCUAAGCUUUGCUAACAACUGUGUAACUGCCUGUAUUUGCCUUUAAAAUCUUUUAUUGUCAUUCUGGUUAAAUAGGUAAGUAUUGUUUCAUAGUGACCUAUGAUUCUAUUUAGGCAAGUGCCUUAAAAAUUUUCUAACAGCUUCCCAAAAUCAAAUUCAAAAAGGUGCUUUUUACCUCUAGUUCACUCUGAUAUUUUCCAGAGGGCCCCUGGAACAUGUGAGAGGAAUUUUUUCUCCUCAUCGGGGAAAAUAUUUGGCUAAUUUGGCUUAUUCAUCUGAUAUAUAUUUACCUGGAAAGCACCAUCAAAGGGAAUGAUGCUAAACUUUGUUACUGAAUGUCUUAUGUUACAGAAAAAUCCAAAUUUUCUUCUGUCACCUGUCUUAUAGUAAGCUCUCAUCAGAUCUUUAACCAUUGUCAUUUGUAGGUCUUUUGUCAUAUAAAGUCACUGUUUUAUUACUCCUAAACUUGUAAAGAACUAGGUUUCAACAGAGCAAGUAUUAGUUACGUAAGAUUAAGUAAACUAAGGAAAAAAAUGUUAUGACUUUUUGUUUCAAAUGUUGCUGAUAAAGUGUUUUAAACUUUUCCUCUUAAAUGGAUGACAGUUUAGUAAAUGACAAUACCUUUGUAAGCAGAAUUGAAACAUUUAUCUUUCUCUCUGCCUGAUCCCUCCAGAAUUUAUAAAACUCUCAAUGAGUAUUUUUUUAUUUUUUAUUUUAUGGCAGUAUGUUUAUUUGCAUAAGUGCAAGAAGAAUCUGCUUUCCUUAUAAGAAGAUGAAUUAAAAACACUAGUUAUAGUACCUAGGCUUUGACUGAAAUGUCAUACCUGAGAGACACGUGUGUAAACUGAUAUGAACAAGAUAGCUUUAAGGAACUAAGGUUGACUUUAUAGAACCAAUAAAGCCCCUUGGAAGAACUGGCCUGGUACCUUGCUUACAGGGUUCCCAGCAGCCUUACUAGGUGAGUAAAGAAGGUCACUUCCUGGCAGGUGUGGGAACCUCAGGAAUGUCUUGGGAACCUCAAGAAGAGAGGAAUUCCCCCAAACCUACAGGUACUGCAGGCAAAACCUAAUGGCAACUCUGGCUUAGCUUUCUGGUCUUGAGGGGCGUUUAAAAGUCCAAUCUGAAAUUCCUUAUAAGAAGUUCCAGCCAAGCACAUUUAAAAGAGCCUAUGUAAUCAAUUGCUCUUCUUGCUGCACUUAUGUAAAUAAUCAAACCAAGUGUUAACUAUUUUCUUAAUCUGGUUACUUCUAAUAAAAAUGAGGGUGAUUUUAGAGAAAAGUAUUGUUUCAAUAAUGCAGCCUUUUCUAUAUUGAGCCUUAAUACUAAUCAUUGGGACAAACUAGAUCCAGAAUUCUAGUUUCCCCAAAAUAUCUGGCUAAGAAAAGACACAUGCAAAGAUGUUCCACAUCACUAAUCAUCAGGGAAAUGCAAAUUAAAACCAUAAUGAGAUACCACCUCCCACCAGUAAGGAUGGCCAGCAUCGAAAAGACUAAGAACAACAAAUACUGCCGAGGAUGCGGAGAGAGGGAAACCCUCCCACACUGCUGGUGGGAAUGUAAGCUAGUUCAGCCAUUGUGGAAAGCAAUAUGGAGGUUCCUUAAAAACUAAAAAUAGAAAUACCAUUUGACCCAGGAAUCCCACUCCUUGGAAUUUACCCAAAGAAUACAACUUCUCAGAUUCAAAAAGACAUAUGCACCCCCAUGUUUAUCGCAGCACUUUUUACGAUAGCCAAGAUAUGGAAGCAACCUAAGUGUCCAUCAGUAGAUGAAUGGAUAAAGAAGAGGUAGUACAUAUACACCAUGGAAUACUAUUCAUCCAUAAGAAAGAAACAAAUCCUACCAUUUGCAACAACAUGGAUGGAGCUGGAGGACAUUAUGCUCAGUGAAAUAAACCACGUGGAGAAGGACAAGUGCCAAAUGAUUUCCCUCAUUUGUGGAGUACAACAACAAAGCAAAACUGAAGGAACAAAAUAGCAGCAGACUCAGAGACUCCAAGUAGGAAUGAGUGGUUACCAAAGGGGAGGGGUGUGGGAGGACGGGUGGGGAGGGAGGGAGAAGGGGAUUGGGGGGUAUUAUAGUUAGUUCACAUGGUGUGGGGGAUCACGGGGAAAACAGUGUAGCACAGAGAAGGCCAAUAGUGAAUCUGUGGCAUCUUACUACACUGAUGGACAGUGACUGCAUUGGGGUCUGGGUGGGGACUUGACAAUAUGGGUAAAUUUAGUAACCACAUUGUCUAUUCAUGUGAAACCUUCAUCAGAGUGUAUAUCAAUAAUACCUUAAUAAAAAAUUAAAAAAUA